GUACACGCUGUGACUAGCAUAUCAAUAAGCGGAGGAAAAGAAACUAACAAGGAUUCCCCUAGUAACGGCGAGUGAAGCGGGAAGAGCUCAAAUUUGAAAUCUUAAAGGGUUUCCCUUUACGAAUUGUAGUUUAAAGAAGUGUUUUCUGUUGAGGUUUUGGUAAAAGUUCUUUGGAAUAGGACAUCAUAGAGGGUGAGAAUCCCGUAUUUGACCUUUACUUUCAUCUUUGUGAUACACUUUCAAAGAGUCGGAUUGUUUGGGAAUGCAGUCCAAAAUGGGUGGUAAAUUUCAUCUAAAGCUAAAUAUUGGCGAGAGACCGAUAGCGAACAAGUACCGUGAGGGAAAGAUGAAAAGAACUUUGAAAAGAGAGUUAAACAGUACGUGAAAUUGUCAAAAGGGAAGCGUUUGACACCAGUGUUGUUUUUCCUGAAAAUCAAUUAAAGAGCUGUUUAUGCUAAGCUGUUUAGACUUUAUCAGCUAUCUGUUUAGUUUUGAGCUUUUCUUUAAUGCACUUUUCAGUUAACAAGUCAACAUCAAUUUCUUUUGCUGUAAAAAAGCUUGAGGAAGGUGGCUUGAGAUUCGUCUUAAGUGUUUAUAGCCUCUUGCCUAUGCAGUCGGAGAGAUUGAGGUCUGCAGCGUAGAUCCUUCGGGGCUAAAUGCAUUUGUGCUAAGUUAUAGCAUUUUAUAGACAACUUGUUGACUAUGAUUUGUCUUGUAGCUUACUCGCUUAUGUUAUUUUACCUACGCUUAGGAUGUUGAAGAUGUAGCACAUCAU
rnacentral:rRNA from 1 species